rnacentral:rRNA from 1 species
UCAUUUAAAGAAAGCGUAAUAGCUCACUGGUCGAGUCGGCCUGCGCGGAAGAUGUAACGGGGCUAAACCAUGCACCGAAGCUGCGGCAGCGACACUAUGCGUUGUUGGGUAGGGGAGCGUUCUGUAAGCCUGCGAAGGUGUGCUGUGAGGCAUGCUGGAGGUAUCAGAAGUGCGAAUGCUGACAUAAGUAACGAUAAAGCGGGUGAAAAGCCCGCUCGCCGGAAGACCAAGGGUUCCUGUCCAACGUUAAUCGGGGCAGGGUGAGUCGACCCCUAAGGCGAGGCCGAAAGGCGUAGUCGAUGGGAAACAGGUUAAUAUUCCUGUACUUGGUGUUACUGCGAAGGGGGGACGGAGAAGGCUAUGUUGGCCGGGCGACGGUUGUCCCGGUUUAAGCGUGUAGGCUGGUUUUCCAGGCAAAUCCGGAAAAUCAAGGCUGAGGCGUGAUGACGAGGCACUACGGUGCUGAAGCAACAAAUGCCCUGCUUCCAGGAAAAGCCUCUAAGCAUCAGGUAACAUCAAAUCGUACCCCAAACCGACACAGGUGGUCAGGUAGAGAAUACCAAGGCGCUUGAGAGAACUCGGGUGAAGGAACUAGGCAAAAUGGUGCCGUAACUUCGGGAGAAGGCACGCUGAUAUGUAGGUGAAGCGACUUGCUCGUGGAGCUGAAAUCAGUCGAAGAUACCAGCUGGCUGCAACUGUUUAUUAAAAACACAGCACUGUGCAAACACGAAAGUGGACGUAUACGGUGUGACGCCUGCCCGGUGCCGGAAGGUUAAUUGAUGGGGUUAGCGCAAGCGAAGCUCUUGAUCGAAGCCCCGGUAAACGGCGGCCGUAACUAUAACGGUCCUAAGGUAGCGAAAUUCCUUGUCGGGUAAGUUCCGACCUGCACGAAUGGCGUAAUGAUGGCCAGGCUGUCUCCACCCGAGACUCAGUGAAAUUGAACUCGCUGUGAAGAUGCAGUGUACCCGCGGCAAGACGGAAAGACCCCGUGAACCUUUACUAUAGCUUGACACUGAACAUUGAGCCUUGAUGUGUAGGAUAGGUGGGAGGCUUUGAAGUGUGGACGCCAGUCUGCAUGGAGCCGACCUUGAAAUACCACCCUUUAAUGUUUGAUGUUCUAACGUUGACCCGUAAUCCGGGUUGCGGACAGUGUCUGGUGGGUAGUUUGACUGGGGCGGUCUCCUCCUAAAGAGUAACGGAGGAGCACGAAGGUUGGCUAAUCCUGGUCGGACAUCAGGAGGUUAGUGCAAUGGCAUAAGCCAGCUUGACUGCGAGCGUGACGGCGCGAGCAGGUGCGAAAGCAGGUCAUAGUGAUCCGGUGGUUCUGAAUGGAAGGGCCAUCGCUCAACGGAUAAAAGGUACUCCGGGGAUAACAGGCUGAUACCGCCCAAGAGUUCAUAUCGACGGCGGUGUUUGGCACCUCGAUGUCGGCUCAUCACAUCCUGGGGCUGAAGUAGGUCCCAAGGGUAUGGCUGUUCGCCAUUUAAAGUGGUACGCGAGCUGGGUUUAGAACGUCGUGAGACAGUUCGGUCCCUAUCUGCCGUGGGCGCUGGAGAACUGAGGGGGGCUGCUCCUAGUACGAGAGGACCGGAGUGGACGCAUCACUGGUGUUCGGGUUGUCAUGCCAAUGGCACUGCCCGGUAGCUAAAUGCGGAAGAGAUAAGUGCUGAAAGCAUCUAAGCACGAAACUUGCCCCGAGAUGAGUUCU